AGACUUGUUGUGCCGCACGGCGUGCUGUCCGUGUGCCGUCUCUGUGCUAUCAAGCGGGGACAUCUGGCGGGCGUAUUUUGCAGAGCAUGCUCUUGACGUGCCGCACGUCGUGCUGUCACUGUGCCGUCCAGUUGCUGUCUCGACCUAGGGCGUCUGUACGCGACGGCACAGAGACUGCACAGCGACAGCACGCGUGCCGCGUGCUCAGAAUGUUGCAUUAUUAAUAAUUAUGGACUUUAAUUAGUAAAGAGCAUACAUUUAUUACUUUUUUUAUUCUCUCCAAACCGAAUUACAUUUAAACAUUAUUUUAUUACAUAAUUCUAAUUAUUAGCGAUGAUUAUUAGGUGCAAUUGUGCAUCAAAUUGUAAGAAGAGUUGUGGCUCAGAGGCUAGAGCUUCGGACUUCUGAUCCAAAGAUCGUGAGUUCCAGCCCUACACCCGGCAGAUUUUUUUUUCUUACAUAAAAUUUUUUUUAUACUAUAUAACAAAAUUUAUUAAUUAUUUAUGAUGUAGAUGCUUAGUUAUGCGUUCUAACUAAUUUUUAUUUAGCGUUAUUUUUAUAUGCGAUAAAAUCGCUCCCCGCCGGUAGCGUUUUCUGCUGGCACAGAGACGGCACAGAGACGGCACGUCGUGCUGUCUCGCCGUGCCGUCACGUGCCGUCUCUGUGCUGCGGCAGCUGGACGUCGCGUGCUGUCGUGGAUGCCGCCAUCUCGUGCCGUCACGGGGACGUCUCUGUGCCGACACGUUGUUAUCUGGGGCGCCGCCCGCGACACUCAGAAAAAUUUCGAUGUUUCUUCCGAGUUUCGCGACACGAUUCGUCGUCUGACAGCUCUACACACUUACUCCGAACUCCGAAACUCCGAUAAACUCACCAACUAGUUUUAGCGAGAGAGAGAGAGAGAGAGAUCUCAAAGCGGAACAACAGCAGCCAGCACGGAAUCUCCGAGAUCUCGGAGAGGGAAAUUCAUCGGUGGAAUUUCGCCUGGUGUGUCAUCACGUGCGCUUAUCUAUUCUGCUACACACUUACUGCAUCCCACCCGCAGCCCUGGGGGAGGAGUGCAUCAUCUGUUCAGCGCUCGGCCAGAAGCCUUGAUGCUUUUCGACGAUUCUCAAGAUAGCCAGCAAGAUGUCCAAGUCCGAUGGGCCCAAACUCGUCACAGCCCUCUUCUCCUUCAAGGGAAAGAACAACGAUGAGCUAUGCUUCAAAAAAGGUGACAUUAUUACAAUAACACAGACAGAUGAUGGCGGCUGGUGGGAAGGAACACUUAAUGAGAAAACUGGCUGGUUUCCGUCCAAUUAUGUCAAGGAGUAUAAAGCUCCAGGUACAUCUUUGCAAAGUUUCAGCUUUAGCGAUUCAGAUUCAGGUUCGACAUCAGCUAAAAUGUCGCCUGAAAAGAGUUCACCUGAUUCCCCAAUCCAUCAAACACUGAACAGGGAUAUUGUCUUAAAAGACAUAGUUGAUUCCGAACGUGCAAACGUUGCAGAACUGCAGGGAUUAGUUAAUAAUUUUCUUCAACCUCUAGAAGCAGCCAAUGUUAUUAAAAAAGAAGAGUACAAACAGUUGAUUGGAAACUUCCAUGAAGUCUUAGAGACUCAUCAACGUCUUUUAGCAAAUUUAGAUAGUGCAUUAUCUCAAGGGCCAGAGGCUAGAGUAGGAAAUAUUUUCCUAACAUUAGCUCCUAAACUGAAGUCCAUUCACACAACUUAUUGCAAUUGUCAUCCGCAAGCAGUUUGCAUUCUAGAUAGAUACAGGGAUGAAUUAAACGAUUUUAUGGAAAGGAGUGGUGCGAUAUCCCCGGGUAUAUUAGUAUUAACUACUGGACUUAGUAAACCCUUUAGAAGACUGGACAAGUAUUCGGCUAUGCUACAAGAGUUAGAAAGGCACACAGAGAAAAAUAAUCCAGACAGAGGGGAUACUCAGCGUAGCGUUAGUGUAUAUAGAGAUAUUGCUGAUCGUUGCGCAGCAAUAAGAAAACAGCGAGAGCUUGCGUUGCAAAUUUUAACCAGUGGCAUCAAAGGUUGGGAAGGCGAGGAAUUAAACGUUUUAGGUGAUAUUAUUCACGUUGGCCCUGUCAUUCUUGUGUCAGGGGUUGAAAGAAGAGACAGAUAUUUUGUAUUAUUUCCGACGACUUUACUCGUAUUAAGUAUAAGCGCCAGAAUGAGUUCAUUUGUAUAUGAGGGAAAACUUCCCUUGACUGGAAUAAAUGUUGUAGCGUUAGAACAAUCAGAAGAGAUCAAGAAUGCCUUCGAAAUUUCUGGUCCGAUGAUCGAGAGCAUAACGGUGGUGUGUCCCAGCCGUGAGGAGCGUCAGCACUGGAUCGAGUUGCUGUCGCAGGAGCAGAUAGCCAUCCGUGCCUCGAACCUGAGUCGCUCGCCCACCAGCAUAUCUCACGUGAGUUGUUGCACUCAUCCGCCGUAUACGCGACUGUCGCGUUUCUUCGCCCGGCUGGUGCGCAAGCGGGUCAUCCACCCGGAGCUGCUCAAGCGGCUCCUCUACUUUCAGUACAUAUUCAGGCCCGAUCUGUCCUCCGUGAAAAUGCGCAAGUGUUGCCUCGUCACCUAUACCCUCUUCCCCAGCAAUCGCUCCGUAGCCGUCGACGCUUCUCCCCGUCCCUCGAAAGCAUCCCUCGCGGCGUCGAUGGCAGCGGCCACGGCCCGACCCGUCCGCAAGUCCUCGACCCUCAAGCUCGACGUGCGAUAUGUUAUGGACACUAGCCAGGAUGCCUCAACGAACUGCGCCUCGAUGGCCGUGUUCGGCAGCGAACCUCCGACGUUAAUGCCUGAACCCACGAGCCGCAGUCUUCCGCCCAAGGUCAGCAGUGGUGACGGCAGCUGCUGCAUCGUGCCCAACUUUGACUCGGUGCCGUAUCGCGAGCUCCGUUCCACGGAGAAUCCUCUGGGCCGCCUUGAUCUCUCCAACCUCUGCGACUGCUCGGACGACUCCAAGAACUGGAGAUCGAUCGGCAAACGCCUACAGCCCAGUCCCAAGCACCAGCAAUCAACCGGCAGUGGCUUUGGUCUAAGGAGAGCCGAAUUCGAGGCCAGCUUGGGCCCAAGUGCAAGUCCUCGCUCGUCGGACUCUGGCAUGGCCGACAGCUUUCAGUAUCACUCGACGGAGCUGGGCUCCUGCUACGACGCUGGAAAGUUCUGCCAGAGCGCAGGGCUGCACAGCGAGAGCGAGAACGACGAGAACAAAUUCGAAAAUCAGUGCAUAUGCACCUCGCCUUUCGGCUCUACUCCGAGACAAAGCGGCAACUCUUCGUCCGAAGAGGAUGAGCAAUCCUCGCCAAGUGCCUGCAAGAGUCUUCUAUCAUCUCGGCUGGGACCCUCAGGGAAGAACGACGACAGCAGCGAACAAGACGAUGACAGUGAAAACGAGGAUCUGGAGCACUGCACCUGUCGGCAUGAAGUAGAGGAGCCUGAGGCGAGGUUCGCGAAAUUAACGCUCACACAGCAGAAGCAUCUGACCCAGCCUCUUGGGCAGCUGUCGCCUAAACCCAGGCAACGACGUCGGCCGUUGGGACAUCACAGAAUCCCGAUACAGCAGUCCCAGGAGGAAAGGAUCGACGACGCGGGAGGAGGAGAGGGAGGACAGGUCUUUACCUCGGGCCUGUACGCACACUGGUGGCUGAAGAAAACGAUCCCGAUGACGAACGACCAAGUCGAGCAGCCAGAACUCGAAGCUUCAAGCAGCAGGAGCGGAGCACUCAUCGUCCCCAGGGAAUAAGGCGCCUUGGAGCCUUGCUUCAUUUAGACCAGCACCACCGAUUUAUGCGCUAAAGACUUUUGGAAAGCCAGAUGCUGUGGACAGUUGCCGGUCGACUAAAACGUGCAAUGAACGACAGUUUGAGGACGAUGCGAUAAUUUUGAGAGUAAUCGAAGGAUAUUGUUUGUCGGCUAACGCGAGGUUUACCGUACACUCUGCUAUGUUGGAUUUCGACCCCCUUCAUAAGGUAAACGAUAGAGCGUCGUUUAUGCAUAGUAGAGUCGGAAAUUGGGAAACGUGCGAAGACAGCAGGUGGCUGUCGGAAACUGUUAAAGCCUUGAAGAGCCAAAUGACGGAUCUGCAGUCGCAGGUAUCGCAGUUGUGCAAGCAGCUGGAGGAAGAGCGAAAGUCUCGUCUGUCGUUGGCUGCAACUGUCAAACGUAGCAUGGCCGUCAUUGACGGCGCCGUGCCUUAGUCAUUUGCGAUGACGACGAUGAAAGAUUAUUAAAACUGUUUUUUUAGCAAUAUUUUUUCUCCCAAUUUGAGAGGAAGAGCGUGCGUUUUUUUUUAUACGAAAACGCAUUCAAUGAAUGCCGAUUUAUGAUUCAUAGUUAAAAGAUAAACAAAAAAAUGUAUGCCUUAGGACGCUUGUCUAAGGAGCUAUAGAAUCAUUUCUCGUUUUGGAACUUUUUAACAUUCAAGAUUCAUUUACUUUUUGACUUAACAAGAAUAUAUAACAACGGUGUCAAGGAAUCUUAACUUAUCGUUUUAUGAGAUUAGAUUUAAUAUAUAAUAAUAGUUCAAAGAAUCUUCUUCAAAAUAUUCAAAAUACUAAAAUCAAAAGUUAAAUAAAAACGUAAGUGUAUUGCACAGUUCAAUAGAGUUCACACGAGCAUAAGGAGUUGAAUUUACCACAACAAAAUAGAAAAAAACAAAACAAUAGUUUAAGACUUCCAAGAAUCACCGAUAAAUGAAUCUACUAACCCGUAAAGUAUUUUGAUGACUUCAUCAAGAGGUCUUUUAUACCUUUAAGAUUUUACAAAAGUAUAAGAAGAAAAAAAAGAAAGCAAAAAAUUUAAAUAAACUAAGAUAAUAAGAGAUUGCGCCAUCGGUGAAGUUCAGUCUGCAUUCCAAAAUUAUUGUCUUACAAGCACAAACUACGAGGUCGUAGAGUUAGUCUGAGGCUGUUGUGCAGAUACGUUGUUUGAGGCCAUCUGCUGCUGUUGCUGUUGCUGCUGCUGUUGUUGCUGCUGCUGCUGCGGCUGCUGAGGCCGUCCUAGAGCCGCGAGGCUGCGCGAAUGCAUAUGCUUGUUCUUAAGACGCUCCAGCUCGUCAACUCUACUCCGUACGUGCUGUAAUCUGUGCCAAGCCAUUUGCAAGACCUUUUGACUUUCGUAGCCAGAGCCUUCAUGGGGUUGACCUAGAAAAACAAAAUUUCAUGUUUAAGUGCAAUUGUAAAAGGGAAACCGCGCAAAGUAUUUUCGACGAUACCGUUAAAUUGUAAUUGAAGUAAGUUUGUAUAUUUUUAAAUGUUUUUUUGAACAAUUAGAACAUUUUUGCGUUUAUUGUGUAAAUACGGAGAAUUCGCUUUAUUAUUUAUUUUAUAAGUUUUGUAACGUGUUUUGAAUAAAAAAAUUAUAAGAAUCUUGACAAAUGGUUCUUAAAGAAAAUAAAAUAUUGAAAAAUAACAUUAUUGCGCAUAAAGUAGAUUUGUCUUAGAAUAAUAAUAUUUCAUUUUAAAUAUUAUUGUGAUGAAUGAAGCUAUAAAAGUUUUCAAAAUAAACAAUAAUGUUUGAUUAAUUUGCAAAAAAGGCAACCUGAUCACAAGUGAUAAGAUAAAUAAUCAAGUUUUAUCCAUUAAUACAAGAGUGCUUAUUGUCAGUAUUUUAAAUGACCUAUAGGUACGUAACGUUGAAUUUCAAAAAAAUAAUUGAUAAAUAAUCUUUCUACUCUGUUUUAUAAAUAAAAAAACUAUUGUCUUGACCUACUUGUUGAAUGAUAUAAAAAAUUUGCACUUUUAGAUAUCACUCAAUUUUAUCUUCUAUUAGGAAAUGAAAAAUGUUUGUAAUACUUGGAAUGUCUUUAUAUUUACCACACAAAACAUAAAAUGACAAAACAUUAUGGCAAAAAGUAGAAUCUAACUAACAACAUAAUUUUGUUAUGAACUUUAGUAGAUUUUUUCUCUGGUUUGUGAGAAUUACAUAAAUCAAAUUUUUUUACAAAGCCUAGUAAGAAUAUCAAUACGCCGAUUAAACGCUUUUAAUUAUUUGUAUGGCAACUAAUUUUUUUAUAAAAGCAUUUGAAUGCAAAAAUUAAUCUGUUUUGUUAAUGAUUUCAUACAUUGAGAAAAAUAAAAACAAUGAUUUUUAAUAAAAGUUAACAAUAA